AUGUCCUGCAGCUCCCUUGUCCUUGUGGGAUGCAUUCAGUGCUGGCUGUGGUACCAGGCAGGAUCCAGGUGGGAUCCAGGCGGGAUCCAGAUGGGAUCCAGGUGGGAUCCAGGUGAGAUCCAGCUGCAGAGUGGACAGCAAGGAGAGCGUCCCGAGAGGAGCUGGGAUCCCAGAGGAUCCCCUUUGGAGCGGGAUAGGAGGCCCAGGGAAGCAGCACAGAAGGCUCCAGAGGCAGAGAAGCUGCUGGGAAUCACCUCCUCCCCGAUGGGGAGCCACGCUCUAAUUAAGAAGAAACCUCCACAAGCCCCUUACAAAGUCUGAGUGGCAGCUGAUUAUUGUAGCAAAGUGCAACCUCUGCCAUUUUGUCAAGCAAGCCCAUCAAAUUAAGGCGAAAUAAGAUGUCCAUCUGUUUCCUGAAUGGCAGCGCCGCCAAAAAAUCAGAUUCCCACCAGUUCCUUAAGUCCCAAUUAUUCCCAGAUUAUCUUUGGAGAUCGGGAGAUCGGCGCUGAAUAAACCUCGUGGCCUCGUUACUGACA
rnacentral:lncRNA from 1 species